rnacentral:rRNA from 1 species
AUUGAACGCUGGCGGCAGGCUUAACACAUGCAAGUCGAGCGGGGGAAGGUAGCUUGCUACUGGACCUAGCGGCGGACGGGUGAGUAAUGCUUAGGAAUCUGCCUAUUAGUGGGGGACAACAUCUCGAAAGGGAUGCUAAUACCGCAUACGUCCUACGGGAGAAAGCAGGGGAUCUUCGGACCUUGCGCUAAUAGAUGAGCCUAAGUCGGACUUAGCUAGUUGGUGGGGUAAAGGCCUACCAAGGCGACGAUCUGUAGCGGGUCUGAGAGGAGGAUCCGAAACACUGGGACUGUGACACGGCCCCGACUCCUCCGGGGGGCAGCAGUGGGGAAUAUUGGACAAUGGGGGGAACCCUGAUCCAGCAAUGCCGCGUGUGUGAAGAAGGCCUUAUGGUUGUAAAGCACUUUAAGCGAGGAGGAGGCUACUCUAGUUAAUACCUAGGGAUAGUGGACGUUACUCGCAGAAUAAGCACCGGCUAACUCUGUGCCAGCCGCCGCCGUAA